AUUCCAGCUCCAAUAGCGUAUAUUAAAGUUGUUGCAGUUAAAAAGCUCGUAGUUGGAUUUCUGGCAGGAGUGACUGACCACACACUCUGUUUGUGAGUUGUGUCAUUCUGGCCAUCCUUGGGGAGAGUUUGUCUGGCAUUAAGUUGUCGGGCAGAGGAUCCUCAUCGUUUACUGUGAAAAAAUUAGAGUGUUCAAAGCAGGCUUAUGCCGUUGAAUAUAUUAGCAUGGAAUAAUAAGAUAGGACUUUGGUACUAUUUUGUUGGUUUGCGCACCAAAGUAAUGAUUAAUAGGGACAGUUGGGGGUAUUCGUAUUCCGUUGUCAGAGGUGAAAUUCUUGGAUUUACGGAAGACGAACUACUGCGAAAGCAUUUACCAAGGAUGUUUUCAUUA
rnacentral:rRNA from 1 species